AACGAACGCUGGCGGCAUGCCUAACACAUGCAAGUCGAACGAUGCUUUCGGGCAUAGUGGCGCACGGGUGCGUAACGCGUGGGAAUCUGCCCUUGGGUUCGGAAUAACAGUGAGAAAUUGCUGCUAAUACCGGAUGAUGUCUUCGGACCAAAGAUUUAUCGCCCAGGGAUGAGCCCGCGUAGGAUUAGCUAGUUGGUGGGGUAAUGGCCUACCAAGGCGACGAUCCUUAGCUGGUCUGAGAGGAUGAUCAGCCACACUGGGACUGAGACACGGCCCAGACUCCUACGGGAGGCAGCAGUGGGGAAUAUUGGACAAUGGGCGCAAGACUGAUCCAGCAAUGCCGCGUGAGUGAUGAAGGCCUUAGGGUUGUAAAGCUCUUUUACCCGGGAUGAUAAUGACAGUACCGGGAGAAUAAGCGCCGGCUAACUCCGUG
rnacentral:rRNA from 1 species